AUCUGGCCUCAAAUCAGGUAGGGCUACCCGCUGAACUUAAGCAUAUCAAUAAGCGGAGGAAAAGAAACUAACUAGGAUUCCCUUAGUAACGGCGAGUGAACCGGGAUGAGCUCAAAUUUAAAAUCUGGCGUCUUUCAGGCGUCCGAGUUGUAAUCUAUAGAGGCGUUUUCCGCGCCGGACCGCGUCCAAGUCUCUUGGAAUAGAGUAUCAAAGAGGGUGACAAUCCCGUACUUGACGCGACAACCGGUGCUCUGUGAUACGUUCUCAAUGAGUCGAGUUGUUUGGGAAUGCAGCUCUAAAUGGGUGGUAAAUUCCAUCUAAGGCUAAAUAUUGGCGAGAGACCGAUAGCGAACAAGUACCGUGAGGGAAAGAUGAAAAGCACUUUGGAAAGAGAGUUAAACAGCACGUGAAAUUGUUAAAAGGGAAACGAUUGAAGUCAGUCGUGUGAAAGGUAUUCAGCCGUCUCUGGCGGUGUAUUUGCCUUUCACGGGUCAACAUCAGUUUGAUCCGGUAGAAAAAGGCAGGAGGAAGGUGGCACCCUCGGGUGUGUUAUAGCCUCUUGUCAUAUGUGCCGGACCAGACUGAGGAACGCAGCUUGCCGCAAGGCCGGGGUUCGCCCACGUACAAGCUUAGGAUGUUGACAUAAUGGCUUUAAACGACCCGUCUUGAAACACGGACCA
rnacentral:rRNA from 1 species